rnacentral:rRNA from 1 species
GGCGAACGCUAGCGGCGCGCUUAACACACGCAAGUCGAGCGGGGGAAGGUAGCUUGCUACCGGACCUAGCGGCGGACGGGUGAGUAAUGCUUAGGAAUCUGCCUAUUAGUGGGGGACAACAUCUCGAAAGGGAUGCUAAUACCGCAUACGUCCUACGGGAGAAAGCGGGGGAUCUUCGGACCUUGCGCUAAUAGAUGAGCCUAAGUCGGAUUAGCUAGUUGGUGGGGUAAAGGCCUACCAAGGCGACGAUCUGUAGCGGGUCUGAGAGGAUGAUCCGCCACACUGGGACUGAGACACGGCCCAGACUCCUACGGGAGGCAGCAGUGGGGAAUAUUGGACAAUGGGGGGAACCCUGAUCCAGCCAUGCCGCGUGUGUGAAGAAGGCCUUAUGGUUGUAAAGCACUUUAAGCGAGGAGGAGGCUACUCUAGUUAAUACCUAGGGAUAGUGGACGUUACUCGCAGAAUAAGCACCGGCUAACUCUGUGCCAGCCGCCGCAGUAA